ncrna:unclassified sequences Glutamine riboswitch
UACGUUCAUCUCAACACAUCGUUGAGACGCAAGUAAGCAAGUUAAGUGCUGAAGGAACGGGAA